rnacentral:rRNA from 1 species
AAAGAAAUCUUGUUUAUGUAAAACAUUUUGUUCAAUGUAAAUUGAAAUAUUAAAAAUAUUUUUAAAAAAUAAAUAAAUCUUAGUUAUUUAAAGUUAAAAGGUAUUUUAAACUAUAGCGUAAAGUACUGUAAAGGAACGAUGAAAUAAAUGAAAAUUAAAUUGAUUAACAGUAACUAUAAAAAAUUGUACCUUGUGUAUCAGGGAAAAUCAAAAUUAAUUAAAUAUUUUAAAUUUCCCGAAAGAAGGAGAGCUAACUUAAAAUAAAGUUUUCGUUUCAAAGAAAUUUUAAAGUUUAUGUUAGUAGUGAAAUGCUAAACGUUCCUUUAUUAUCUGGUUUUUAACGAAUUAAAUUAAAUUUAGGUAUUGUCAAGUACUGAUGAUAAUAACAAAAAAUUGGAGGGAAAGCUUCUAGUUUUAAAAACUGUAAAAAAAAUAAAAAUUAAUUAUGUAAUUAGGCUUAAAAGCAGCAAAAUUGUUAAAGCGUUCUAGCUAACAUAAUAAGUAAAAUUAUUUUUAUUAAUUACUUCGGUUUUAGUAGUUAACAAAUUUUAUAAACAUAACUAUAAAAAGUUAUAAUGAUUUUAUUAGUAGAAAAUGUUGUGAAAGUUUAGUAAAAUAAAAUAAACAAAAAAAAUUAUAACUUAAAAAAUAUUUAACUAAGGAACUCGGCAAACAAUAUUUUUGCCUGUUUAUCAAAAACAUGUCUGUAUGAGUUAAAAUAUAGAGUCUGGCCUGCCCACUGAGUUAAAAGUUCUUAAAGGGCCGCGGUACUUUGACCGUGCGAAGGUAGCAUAAUCAUUAGUCUUUUAAUUGAAGGCUAGAAUGAACGGUUGGACAAAAAAUAAGCUGUCUCAGUUAAAAUUCUUGAAUUUAACCUUUAAGUGAAAAGGCUUAAAUAAAUCGGGGGGACGAUAAGACCCUAUAAAGCUUUACAAACCCUUUUUUUAGUUAAAAAUUAUAAGUGUAAACUAACUUAAAAAUUAUUUGUUUCGUUGGGGCGACGAGAAUAUAAUUUAGUAACUGUUCUUUUAAAAUAUUACAGUAUUAGUUGAUUGAAAAUUGAUCCCUUAAUAAGGAUUAAAAGUUUAAGUUACUUUAGGGAUAACAGCGUAAUCUUUUUUGAGAGUCCAUAUCGACAAAAAGGGUUGCGACCUCGAUGUUGAAUUAAGGGAUCCUUGUAGUGUAGCAGUUAUAAAGGAAGGUCUGUUCGACCUUUAAUUCCUUACAUGAUUUGAGUUCAGACCGGCGUAAGCCAGGUUGGUUUCUAUCUCUCGAAAUUUAAAAAGUUAUCUUAGUACGAAAGGAUUAGAUAGCUCAAAUAAUUUGAAAAAAAGGAACAAUAUUAAUCAGU